UGAAGCAGUCAGAGGGCAGCGGUCAAACCUCAGACCCAAAUCACGGAGUGAGCCAGACUGAAAGUCAUGUCUACAGCUCUCCUCUUCAAGUUGCAGGUGAAUUCACAGACGUUACAUACUCUCUCAUUCAACUGAACAACUUUCAAAAUGGCAAAAAGCGUGAGCUCCAAACACACUCAAUGUGCAAAAUAACAGAGAAGUUGUAACCUUUAUUGAUUAUCUGAUGGUUUUCACAGGAAGGCCUCAUGAACCAGAGGAUGGUGCUGUUUACUCUGAAGUGAAAAUUGGAGCUGCAGGAAAUAAAAGUCCAGCCGACUGAAUGCAACAAAAUCUGAACCAUUUUUAUGAUCAGCUAAAAGUUUGACUCAGAUCAUCUCUUCAUUACCAGAAUAGAGGACUCCUGCAGCACCAGAUGCAGUCAUUUAUUCUGAAAUCGGAUCCUCCGGAUAACAAUGUAAGCUGAAUGUUGUGAUGGGUUCUACUGAAAGUUGUUAAAACUAAUCACCACAGCCUUUUUUCAUAUGUUUCAGUCAUAGAUAUGUAAACGAAGCAGCAUUAACAAACCAAAGAGGAUUUAUAUUAAACUACUGAUGUUGCAUUUCAGCAGUUGCUGAAUUACCAGACAUGGCUUGAUGUUGUUACAUAUGUUGAGAUCUUGAAAUCUGAUGCAGAACAAGCUUUCUUUUGGCAGAUAAACCUUCCUUUUAAGCACCUCUCUCCUUAUUGAAAUUGUAUUUAAAGGUAUUCUGUUUAAAUGUAAAUUCAGCAAUGGAAAAAAAUGUGCACUAUUCUAUGUUGUUAUUGUUGUUACUUUAGUCUAAAUAUUUUUAAAUUUAUAAUAACUAGUAUAACUACUUUGUGUAUCUUGUUUUAAUUUAGAUGAAAUAGGUAUAUUUAUAUUUUUUAUGUUUAAGCCUCCAUGGACUGUUUGAGCAAUGAGACGUUUGAAGUGCUUUUAUGUGCUAGUGUGUUUCAUUGCUAGUGUAACAAUGUAUACACAUAUAUAAAUAUGAGCACUGUUGUCUGAUCUGCUUAAUCCUUCAUGGGGUCGCGGGGGUUGCUGGUGCCUAUCUCCAGCGUUCACUGGGCGAGAGGCGGGGUACACCCUGGACAGGUCGCCAGUCUGUCACAGGGCAACACAGAGAGACACACAGAACAAACAACUAUCCACGCACACUGGUUUAAUAUCACCAGACAGUAUUAUAUGCUUGUCAUGUGAGCCUUAGUAAAAGACAUUACCAGCUGUUACGAAGAGAUAAUUUACAGUAGAAGGCUUAUAUGGUCACUUGUAAGCAGAA